GAGCCGCCAUGAACAACUGGGUUUUGUUUAGAUCAAGUUUAGCCUUCGCUACUUGCUUGUAGGCGCGCGUGCAGGAUCAGCCGCCCGUCUCCUUAUCUUCGGAACCCCAUUGUUGAUUCAGAUUCAGUUUGAAACCUUCAAUUCAUCUUGCAAAUUCAGUGUUUAUUUCCUCGUUCUUGCUAGUUCUUCAAUUGCUUGCAGGACGGGAGCCCUAGGGGCUGGUUGUCGCGCUCCACAAGAUCGUGACGGCUGUUGGACGUGGUGUAUCGGUUGCUAAGGCGCAGUCUUGAGGGCUGUAGUCGGGCCGUGAACGUCAUCUCCAUCCACUAAUCGAGUUAUCCAGCGCCUCUCAUCGAAAGAUCAGGCCAAAAACCCUAGCGGGUUCGCAUC
rnacentral:lncRNA from 1 species